AUGGGGUUCAUGCUGCGGGUGAGGCUGGCCUCCUUCUUCGCGGGCGCGGCCGCCGCGGCGGCCGGCGGCAGCUACUUCCUCUACAAGGACUACAAGCUCGCCCACGACUCCACGGCCCUCAAGGUGAAAGGUCUCCACGACCAUGUGGACGCCCGUUACAAGGCUCUCGACAAGCGACUUGCAGCUCUGGAAGCCCAGAAAAGCACCGACUCCUCUCCGGCUGUGGACGCGCCAUCGGGCUAG
rnacentral:rRNA from 1 species